CUUGACACUGAACACUGGUCCUUGAUGUGUAGGAUAGGUGGGAGGCUUUGAAGCGUGGACGCCAGUCUGCGUGGAGCCGCCCUUGAAAUACCACCCUUUAAUGGCUGGUGUUCUAACGUAGACCCGUUACCCGGGUUGCGGACAGUGUCUGGUGGGUAGUUUGACUGGGGCGGUCUCCUCCCAAAGAGUAACGGAGGAGCACGAAGGUUGGCUAAUCCUGGUCGGACAUCAGGAGGUUAGUGCAAUGGCAUAAGCCA
rnacentral:rRNA from 1 species